CCUACGGGUGGCAGCAGUGGGGAAUAUUGCGCAAUGGGCGAAAGACUGACGCAGCGACGCAGCGUGAGGAUGAAGGUCUUCCGAUUGUAAACCUCUGUCAGCAGGGAAGAACGGUCAAUGUGCUAAUCAGCAAUGAAAUGAAGGUAACUGCAAAGGAAGCAUCGGCUAACUCCGGGCGAGCAGCCGCGGUAAUACGGAGGGGGCGGGGGUUAAUCGGAAUUACUGGGCGUAAAGCGCUCGUAGGCGGUAUGUCAAGUCAAGGGUGAAAUCCCCGCGCUCAACGUGGGAACUGCCGUUGAAACUGGCAAACUGGAGUGUGUGAGAGGAUAGUGGAAUUCCAGGUGUAGGAGUGAAAUCCGUAGAUAUCUGGAGGAACAUCAGUGGCGAAGGCGACUAUCUGGCACAUAACUGACGCUGAGGAGCGAAAGCGUGGGUAGCAAACAGGAUUAGAUACCCCAGUAGUC
rnacentral:rRNA from 1 species